GCCUAGUGGUUAGAGGGGAGGCAGGUAGCCUAGUGGUUAGAGGGGAGGCAGGUAGCCUAGUGGUUAGAGGGGAGGCAGGUAGCCUAGUGGUUAGAGGGGAGGCAGGUAGCCUAGUGGUUAGAGGGGCGCCAGGUAGCCUAGUGGUUAGAGGGGAGGCAGGUAGCCUAGUGGUUAGAGGGGAGGCAGGUAGCCUAGUGGUUAGAGGGGAGGCAGGUAGCCUAGUGGUUAGAGGGGAGGCAGGUAGCCUAGUGGUUAGAGGGGAUGGCAGGUAGCCUAGUGGUUAGAGGGGAGGCAGGUAGCCUAGUGGUUAGAGGGGUGGCAGGUAGCCUAGUGGUUAGAGGGGAGGCAGGUAGCCUAGUGGUUAGAGGGGAGGCAGGUAGCCUAGUGGUUAGAGGGGAGGCAGGUAGCCUAGUGGUUAGAGGGCGGCAGGUAGCCUAGUGGUUAGAGGGGAGGCAGGUAGCCUAGUGGUUAGAGGGGAGGCAGGUAGCCUAGUGGUUAGAGGGGAGGCAGGUAGCCUAGUGGUUAGAGGGGAGGCAGGGGGCGCCAG
ensembl:lncRNA